rnacentral:rRNA from 1 species
GACGAACGCUGGCGGCGUGCUUAACACAUGCAAGUCGAACGGAAAGGCCCUGCUUUUGUGGGGUGCUCGAGUGGCGAACGGGUGAGUAACACGUGAGUAACCUGCCCUUGACUUUGGGAUAACUUCAGGAAACUGGGGCUAAUACCGGAUAGGAGCUCCUGCUGCAUGGUGGGGGUUGGAAAGUUUCGGCGGGUGGGGAUGGACUCGCGGCUUAUCAGCUUGUUGGUGGGGUAGUGGCUUACCAAGGCUUUGACGGGUAGCCGGCCUGAGAGGGUGACCGGCCACAUUGGCCCUGAGGUCCGGCCCGUACUCCUACUGGGGGCAGCAGUGGGGAAUUUUGCACAAUGGGCGGAAGCCUGAUGCAGCAACGCCGCGUGCGGGAUGACGGCCUUCGGGUUGUAAACCGCUUUCGCCUGUGACGAAGCGUGAGUGACGGUAAUGGGGAAAGAAGCACCGGCUAACUACGU